AGGUUCUUCUGUGAUACGUUUUCAAGGUGUGGGAAUAAGACUUGGUGGUCUAAUACAGCUAAUACAAAGGUUAGCAUCACAGCUUGUCUGUAAGGAUUGAAGCUGGGAGUGGGCAUUGGAGCGGACUUUUAUGAUAACUGUGGCUGCAUAAGAUGGUAGUGUUAUAUAACUGCAACAGUAAAGAAUGUAAUUCAGACUAUUUUUGGGUAUGCUCGAAAAAAUAUUUAUAAUUUUUUUACAAAAAAAAAAAAAAUUGUAAAGAUUCUCCAUUUUCAACAAGAUUGGAAGUAGAUGGUUUACUUAUGUAUUUGGCAUUACAAAAAUUCUUUCUAUUUUCCAUUUAUACUCAUAUCUAGUCAAAACACUUCCAGCAGUUUAAGAAUGGAGAAUCUAAAAAAGAAAAAAAAAAGAAAAGAAAGAAAAGAAAAGAAAAAAAAUGUUCAAUUAUUGAAAUGUAUUUUUUUUGUAAAUUGUAAUGUAUAUAGUUAUGCCAUAUUUUUGUUAUUUAAGAUUUGAGAUACUUUCAAAGGAGUAGGUCCGGUAAGACCCCUUUUUGGCCCCAAAAAAUAAGUUUUACAAAAUUGUUAAAAUGUAAACUUUUAGUUAUUUAUUGGACAGUUAAAUGGUACUGCUACACAAAUAUGGGCAGUUUUUUUAACAAUACAAUGCACAAAUAUCGGGUUGUAGCACUAUCAAGUCAUGCUAAAUUACGGAAAUCUUCAAAAUUCUAUCAUUUUAGUUAAAUUUUAGACGGUUUCCAUGUAAAACCAA